ensembl:lncRNA
ACAUUCUUCUUCCCAUCUUGAAGUAUAUGGUUCAAGAACUUGAUUUGUUUUACGAUUUUGGCGAAGAUGGUUGUGUUUGCCUUUGUGUGGGAAAGAUGGCCGUGGUUUUUGUCACCCUAUGCAGAGUUUGCACACAGAAACAAAAUUUUGCCAAAUGCUUUUAUUUGCGAACCGAAUUGCCUGCAAAUGGAAACAUUCAUGAACCAAGGUAUUUCGGUAGUUGAGGGUGAAGAUCAGUGUAUAGUUUUAAAGGCUUCUCAGAUGAUUCUUCUAACAUUUCUACAACUUCCUCCAGGAGAACAGAUUCAAAAUCUGCAGCCCCAAGCUACCACAAAUUCAUACCAGUUGUAUUACUUGGGGUAAAUGGAGCUCAUUUUAAAUUGUCUCUUUCAUAUUUAUUUUAUUUUUUAUUAGUACAUGUUUGCAGCACAUAAUAAUUACAUUCAUCAUGGGGAGAUGGUGCAUGUACAUAACACAUUUUAAUUCUUUUUUCACCUCCCACAUCUCUUGGUCUCCUUCCCUUUUGCAAAGGAUCUAUCUUCCUGUUUUAUAUUACCUAUCUUUUAUUUUACUCCCUAAUUCCUUUAUACUUUUGAGUUUCUCAAAUUAGAGAAGCCAUGCAAUAUUUAAGUUUGUAUGCCUGAUUUAUUUCAUUUAACAUUAUGGUCUCGAGGUGCACUGAGUCCCGCUAUGUAGGAGUAAUUAUAGUAGUUCCAGGUUAAUGUCAGAUAAGCCCAUUUCCUUUACCAACAAUGAAUCAGAAGACAAGCACUUUAGAAUGAAAGAAAGUGAAUACAGGAGAUGCAUAUAGAACAGUUUAAAAGUUGAAUGCAGAUGGCCUGCAUCGUUUAGUGCACUAUUAACCUUUCCACCAGUACUCAGACACAAGUCAGGUUUGAAUAAACAAUCUGUAAAGAAUCCAUGAAGAUUAAAUGUCAUCAAUAAAUGUGAUUUUUGUAAUACCCAACAAAUUAUUCUAAUAUCAAAAUCUUUCAAAAUCAUUAAAAAUAAUUUUAUGUCAUUGGUAGAAGUAGGUGGUUCAUUUUUUCCUCUUUGUAAAGAGUACUCACAAAUAAAAAAUUCCAUGUCUAGUUGUCCCUGCCCCUGAGAGAUUAGGUCCAGGAUCCCCCAUGGAUACCAACAUCUAUGCAUGUUCAUGUCCUUCAUAUUAAGUGGUGCAGUAUUUGGAUAAAACCUACACAUAUUCUCUCAUAUAUUUUGCAUCAUCUCUAGAUGACUGUAAUAUAAUGUAAAUGCUUUGUAAAUAGUUAUUAUACCACACUGUUUAGUAAAUAACAAGAAAAAAGUAUUCAGUACAGAUGUAAUUUUAAUACUAUAUUUUUAUCUGUGGUUGCUUUAAUCUGUGGAUGUAGAACCUGUGGAUACAAAGGGCUGACUGUAUAUAAUAUGAAUUAAAUAGGAUCAGCAUGAUAUCAGACUUCAUUUAAAGUUACUACCUCCAGUUAUGGACCCAAAACCGAUGAAGCUGAAACAUCCCAGGACACCACAGCAAUCACACGGGAUGGCCAGGAUGUCUUCAGUUACCCAGAGAAACAUCUGUCAGACACCGCGUGACCUUCUAGCUGGAGAAACUGUAAAGUUUUAACAUGAGAAUGGUAUCUCCCUUCUAAUGAUAGCAUAGGUUUCCUAAUUGGGUUGUACCCAAAAGUAGGGCCUCAACCUGAUUUAGUGAGGUGAGCUAGUUAACAUUCUAAGUUAACGGGAAGCCUCAUAACUUCUUAAACAAUAAAGUCACCCUGGAAUGAUAUUUUAGACAUCAUCAUCUUAAGGG